rnacentral:rRNA from 1 species
ACCAGACUCCUACGGGAGGCAGCAGUGGGGAAUAUUGGACAAUGGGGGGAACCCUGAUCCAGCGACGCCGCGUGAGUGAAGAAGUAUUUCGGUAUGUAAAGCUCUAUCAGCAGGGAAGAAAGAAAUGACGGUACCUGACUAAGAAGCCCCAGCUAACUACGUGCCAGCAGCCGCGGUAAUACGUAGGGGGCAAGCGUUAUCCGGAUUUACUGGGUGUAAAGGGAGCGUAGACGGCGACGCAAGUCUGAUGUGAAAGCCUGGGGCUCAACCGCGGGACUGCAUUGGAAACUGCGGGACUGGAGUGUCGGAGGGGUAAGCGGAAUUCCUGGUGUAGCGGUGAAAUGCGUGGAUAUCAGGAGGAACACCAGUGGCGAAGGCGGCCUGCUGGGCUUUAACUGACGCUGAGGCUCGAAAGCGUGGGUAGCAAACAGGAUUAGAUACCCUCGUA